rnacentral:rRNA from 1 species
AACGCUAGCUACAGGCUUAACACAUGCAAGUCGAGGGGAAACGACAUCGAAAGCUUGCUUUUGAUGGGCGUCGACCGGCGCACGGGUGAGUAACGCGUAUCCAACCUGCCCAUCACUUGGGGAUAACCUUGCGAAAGUAAGACUAAUACCCAAUGACGUCUCUAGAGGACAUCUGAAAGAGAUUAAAGAUUUAUCGGUGAUGGAUGGGGAUGCGUCUGAUUAGCUUGUUGGCGGGGUAACGGCCCACCAAGGCGACGAUCAGUAGGGGUUCUGAGAGGAAGGUCCCCCACAUUGGAACUGAGACACGGUCCAAACUCCUACGGGAGGCAGCAGUGAGGAAUAUUGGUCAAUGGACGAGAGUCUGAACCAGCCAAGUAGCGUGCAGGAAGACGGCCCUAUGGGUUGUAAACUGCUUUUAUAAGGGAAUAAAGUGAGUCUCGUGAGACUUUUUGCAUGUACCUUAUGAAUAAGGACCGGCUAAUUCCGUGCCAGCAGCCGCGGUAAUACGGAAGGUCCAGGCGUUAUCCGGAUUUAUUGGGUUUAAAGGGAGCGUAGGCCGUCUGUUAAGCGUGUUGUGAAAUGUAGAUGCUCAACAUCUGAAUUGCAGCGCGAACUGGCAGACUUGAGUGUGCGCAACGUAGGCGGAAUUCGUGGUGUAGCGGUGAAAUGCUUAGAUAUCACGAAGAACUCCGAUUG